GACGAACGCUGGCGGCGUGCUUAACACAUGCAAGUCGAACGGAAAGGCCCUGCUUUUGUGGGGUGCUCGAGUGCCGAACGGGUGUGUAUCACGUGAGUAACCUGCCCUUGACUUUGGGAUAACUUCAUGAAACUGGGGCUAUUAUCCGACAUGAGCUCCUUCUGCAUGGUGUGGGUUGGUAAGUUUCGGCGGUUGGGGAUGGACGCGCGGCUUAUCAGCUUGUUGGUGGGGUAGUGGCUUACCAAGGCUUUGACGGGUAGCCGGCCUGGGAGGGUGACCGGCCACAUUGGGACUGAGAUACGGCCCAGACUGCUACGGGAGGCAGGAGUGGGGAAUAGUGCAAAAUGGGCGGAAGCCUGAUGCAGCAACGCCGCGUGCGGGAUGACGGCCGUCGGGUUGUAAACCGCUUUCGCCUGUGACGAAGCGUGAGUGACGGUAAUGGGUAAGGAAGCACCGGCUAACUACGUG
rnacentral:rRNA from 1 species